ACUACGGGUGGCAGCAGUGGGGAAUCUUCCGCAAUGGGCGCAAGCCUGACGGAGCAACGCCGCGUGAGUGAAGAAGGUCUUCGGAUCGUAAAGCUCUGUUGAUGGGGACGAACGUGCCUAAUGCGAAUAGUUUUAGGCAAUGACGGUACCCAUCGAGGAAGCCACGGCUAACUACGUGCCAGCAGCCGCGGUAAUACGUAGGUGGCAAGCGUUGUCCGGAAUCAUUGGGCGUAAAGGGAGCGCAGGCGGGCAUGUAAGUCUUGCUUAAAAGUGCGGGGCUCAACCCCGUGAUGGGAAAGAAACUAUAGGUCUUGAGUACAGGAGAGGAAAGCGGAAUUCCCAGUGUAGCGGUGAAAUGCGUAGAUAUUGGGAGGAACACCAGUGGCGAAGGCGGCUUUCUGGACUGCAACUGACGCUGAGGCUCGAAAGCCAGGGGAGCGAACGGGAUUAGAUACCCUUGUAGUC
rnacentral:rRNA from 1 species